UCUUAACCCUGGUUUUCCUCCUCUAGUGUGGUAGAAGAGGAGACACGGCGAUCCCAGCAAGCUGCUCGAGAUAAACAGAGUCCCAGCCAGGCCAAUGGCUGCAGUGACCAUAGGCCUAUUGACAUCCUGGAAAUGCUGAGUAGAGCCAAGGAUGAGUACGAGAGGGCUCAGAUGGGCGACUCAAAUAUCUCCAGCCCUGGGUUACAGCCAAGCACUCAGCUUUUCAAUCUAGGAAGCACUGAAACUCUAGAAGAGACGUCCUCUGGAUCACAAGAUAAGGUUUGUAUAGUUAAAGCCCUAGCUUUGUCCAGAGUAACAAAACAAAGAGUAACAUUUUAUAAGGGUUUUAAUUACAAUACAAAUUUAACUUUUCACAGAUCUGUCAGGGUCUUAUUGUAGCAAUAUAAUGACAUCCAUUCAGGUCAUUCCCCUGAUACACAUAACUUUUUUUUUUUUUUUUUUUUAAGCAAAACAGAAAAAAAGGAUAGAAAUGAUACAGAAUUUUAAAAAAAAUUAGGAAAUUAACACUAG
rnacentral:lncRNA from 1 species